CGAUCACCUGCUGCGAGGUGGGCACCUGUGCGCCCGCCGCGUAGGGGUAGACGUUGUCGGUGCGCACCGACUCGACGACGCCGGCCUCGAUGCCCGCCAGCAGCGGCUGCACGACCAGGCGCGUGGGGAAGAAGCCCAAGCGCUCGCGUCCGGGCCCCAGCGAGAGCACAUAGUCAAAGUGCGACGUGUCGUAGGCGAUCACGCGGCCGAGGGCGAGCGGCAGCGGCGGCGCGCCCGGCGCCAGCGCGGCCUCAAAGAGGUGCGUCUCGGGCCGGUAAAAGACGAGGGCGCCGCGCUCGAUGCCAUAGGGCCCGAGCAGGUAGUCGAACCAGGUCUGGCGGAUCUGGUAGCCGCUGGCGCGCGCGGCGCCGCCCACGCGGACAAUCUCUUCGCCCGACGCCAGCGGCCUUCGCUCGCGGCCGUACGCAUAGGGAACGAGCCCGGCCACGAGUUCCCUCUGGUAGGGGAACACGCCCACGACGGCGCUCGGCUCUGCCUGCGGCACCACCGGUAUGCCCGGCAGCGGCGGGAAGGGGAAGGUUACGCGCGUGCCCGAGAUCAAGGCUCGCGGCGCGCGCGCCUGCUCCUCGGCGUAGCGACGUGCCGACUCGACGGCGCAGACGCGACACACGGCGCCUCGCGGGGCCUCCUCCUGGCCCUGAAUAAACACCGAGUAGAAUUCAUUGUCGGAUGGAUCCUGCGACCAGGCGUCGAUCAUGCCUAGGAGCGCUCCCGCGCCAUAGGCGUUGACGAGGCCCGCGUUGCCCAGCACCCGGGCUACUAUGUUGCCGACACCGGGCGCGCCGCGAGGCCCCUCCUCUUGGGACAGGCGCCGACGGCGGCUCGCCGGUUCGGCCGUCGGGCUCGUCGGCACCCGCGAAAGGCCACCGCGCUGGUAGUCUUCGAUGAGGUCCAACACGCGCUGCCGGUAGUCAUACUCGGAACCGCCAGCCGCCUCCCACGCGUUCCAAUCUGGCACCAGGUAGUCGAGCACGUCCGACGGGAUGGCGGCGCGCGUCUGGCAGAUGCCGCACACCUCGGGCGGCGGCACGAUCUCGACGGCCUCGAUGGGUUGGCGCGACAGGGGGCUCACGCGGGCCAGCGUCGCCGAGGCGAUAUCGCUCGGCGUCGGAUACUGGGCGGCCUCUUCCGGCGUCAUGGCGGCGGCGGCCAGGGCGCCGGCGUCGAGGGCGUCGCGACGUCGCUUGACCGACACGGCGCGCGGACCCGCCGAUUGUUGCUGCUGCUGCUGCUGUUGGAGGAUGGCCUCGCGCACGGUGGGCAACGGCGUCGGCGGCGCCUCAAACACGCUAAAGCCGGCAGCCGAUGGGCGGUAGGGCGACGGCUGGGUCGACGGCGUGGGCGGUUGCGGUUGUGGCCGUGGCGACGGCGCGCCGGCGAUGGCGGCGGCGGACGCCAACGCAGCGGCCAGCGGGGCCUCGGCGACGGCGGCCUGGUUGGGUCCGACGACGAUGGUCGAGAGGCCCACGGCGUUGAGGUCGCCGCGCGCUCGUGCACACGGAUCGCUGGCCGAGCCGAGGGCGGGUGCCGCCGUCCACGGGUAGGUUUGAGGGUUGUAAUCGCGCUGCCAGUUGGCCAUCUGGGCGUCGACCGUGUCGCCGGCGAUCGGCAGCAGGCCGACGGCCAUGCGAUCGAUGGCCUCGGCCGCGAGGUCUGCGGUCACAUUGUCGGCCCCCUGCGGCAGGCUGAAAUAGGCCAGCGGGUCGAGCCACCACCAGCGGUCGAUGACGUCCGACUCGCCGCCGUCGCCGAUGACCAGGCGGUAGUAGGGCCAUGGGGCCUCCUGCACGUCGUUGCGUCCGUCGAGCCGAAAUAGGUACUCGGCGACGGCGGCCGGGACGGCGCGCUCAUAGUAGGCAUCGAGGGGCUCGUCGGCGUCGGGCAGCGGCAACGGCCGCUCCAGGGCGAGCACGCCAGAGAGGGCCGCCGCGAGGGCCUCGUUGGAAGCACGCGGGUCGCUCGCGCCGUUGGCCGCGGCCCAGGCGUCCAUCUGGGCGUCGAUGGCGUUGGCAAAGUCGGUCUGCGCGAGAAACAUGAACACGGCCAAGGCCGCAAGGUUGCCGCCGGGGCCGUCCAUCGCCGGAAUGCCGAUGGCGGCGGCGGCCUCGCGCUGUUCGGCCGAGCGCGCGCGGGCUUCGCUGACGGCGCGCUCGUAAUAGUACAUAAACGGCGCCACCAAGUCGUCGGCAACGAGGGCGGGGUCGGACGAGAGCGCGUCGCAGAGGAAGAAGAGCAUCUCGGUGGGUCCCAGCGAGACAAAGUCGUCGAGGCCGCGGGCGAGCACGGCCUGCUCGAUCGCGUUGUAGGGCAGUCGCGCGGGCGCCUCCAUGGUGCGACACACACACACACAGCGACCAGUAGGAGUGGGGGAGAAAAAUGAAAAGAAAAAAUGAAAAGAAAAAAAGCCUAGGCAGAGAGUGCGGUUGUGGUGGCGGCGGCGACGCCAACGGUAGGUACGGACAGGAGAGCGGUCGGUCAGAGAGGGCGCAGAUCGGUCGGGUCCGCUCGGCGCUCCUUUUCCCUUGUGCGGCGUCUGUGUUUUGCCGCCUCGACCGCCUUUCACGCGUCGACCACGCACGCCGUUGGUCGGUCCGCCCUUUGCCUUUUUUAGACAACGAAACUGGCGCCUUUUUUUUGCGUGCUGCGCUUUUUUGCCCCCGUCGUCUCCAGGCAAUAAAAACCCACCAAG
rnacentral:lncRNA from 1 species